UAGGGAAUCUUCCACAAUGGACGAAAGUCUGAUGGAGCAACGCCGCGUGAGUGAAGAAGGGUUUCGGCUCGUAAAACUCUGUUGUUUAAAGAAGAACAUAUCUGAGAGUAACUGUUCAGGUAUUGACGGUAUUUAACCAGAAAGCCACGGCUAACUACGUGCCAG
rnacentral:rRNA from 1 species